rnacentral:miRNA from 1 species
AUGCAGGCCUGUGUACAGCACU